UACGUAGGGCGCAAGCGUUAUCCGGAAUUAUUGGGCGUAAAGAGCUCGUAGGCGGUUUGUCGCGUCUGCCGUGAAAGUCCGGGGGCUCAACUCCGGAUCUGCGGUGGGUACGGGCAGACUAGAGUGAUGUAGGGGAGACUGGAAUUCCUGGUGUAGCGGUGAAAUGCGCAGAUAUCAGGAGGAACACCGAUGGCGAAGGCAGGUCUCUGGGCAUUAACUGACGCUGAGGAGCGAAAAGCGUGGGGGAGCGAACAGG
rnacentral:rRNA from 1 species